rnacentral:tRNA from 1 species
GGAGAUUUAGCUCAGCGGUAGAGUGCUUGCCUAGCAAGCGUGAGGCCCCUGGGUUCGGUCCCCAGCUCCG